rnacentral:rRNA from 1 species
UGGGGAAUAUUGGACAAUGGGCGAAAGCCUGAUCCAGCCAUGCCGCGUAUGUGAAGAAGGUCUUCGGAUUGUAAAGCACUUUAAGUUGGGAGGAAGGGCAUUAACCUAAUACGUUAGUGUUUUGACGUUACCGACAGAAUAAGCACCGGCUAACUCUGUGCCAGCAGCCGCGGUAAUACAGAGGGUGCAAGCGUUAAUCGGAAUUACUGGGCGUAAAGCGCGCGUAGGUGGUUUGUUAAGUUGGAUGUGAAAGCCCCGGGCUCAACCUGGGAACUGCAUCCAAAACUGGCAAGCUAGAGUACGGUAGAGGGUGGUGGAAUUUCCUGUGUAGCGGUGAAAUGCGUAGAUAGAGGAAGGAACACCAGUGGCGAAGGCGACCACCUGGACUGAUACUGACACUGAGGUGCGAAAGCGUGGGGAGCAAACA